GGCCCCGUGGUGUAGUGGUCAACAUUCCACCUUGUCACGGUGGCGUCGUGGGUUCAAAUCCCAUCGGGGUCGCCA
rnacentral:tRNA from 1 species